rnacentral:rRNA from 1 species
GAUGAACGCUGGCGGCGUGCCUAAUACAUGCAAGUCGAGCGAAUGGAUUAAGAGCUUGCUCUUAUGAAGUUAGCGGCGGACGGGUGAGUAACACGUGGGUAACCUGCCCAUAAGACUGGGAUAACUCCGGGAAACCGGGGCUAAUACCGGAUAACAUUUUGAACCGCAUGGUUCGAAAUUGAAAGGCGGCUUCGGCUGUCACUUAUGGAUGGACCCGCGUCGCAUUAGCUAGUUGGUGAGGUAACGGCCCACCAAGGCAACGAUGCGUAGCCGACCUGGGAGGGUGAUCGGCCACACUGGGACUGAGACACGGCCCAGACUCCUACGGGAGGCAGCAGUAGGGAAUCUUCCGCAAUGGACGAAGGUCUGACGGAGCAACGCCGCGUGAGUGAUGAAGGCUUUCGGGUCGUAAAACUCUGUUGUUAGGGAAGAACAAGUGCUAGUUGAAUAAGCUGGCACCUUGACGGUACCUAACCAGAAAGCCACGGCUAACUACGUGCCAGCAGCCGCCGUAA